UACAGAGGUCUCAAGCGUUGUUCGGAUUCAUUGGGCGUAAAGGGUGCGUAGGCGGCGCGGUAAGUCGGAUGUGAAAUCUCGGAGCUUAACUUCGAAACUGCAUUCGAUACUGCCGUGCUUGAGGACUGGAGAGGAGACUGGAAUUUACGGUGUAGCGGUGAAAUGCGUAGAUAUCGGAAGGAAGACCAGUGGCGAAGGCGGGUCUCUGGACAGUUCCUGACGCUGAGGCACGAAGGUCAGGGGAGCAAACGGG
rnacentral:rRNA from 1 species